rnacentral:snoRNA from 1 species
GAGGACUUACCUAGGCUGUGUUCUUACACUGACUGUAUAGAUAAAAAGGAGGAAAAGUAAACCUACCUCACACACACUUCAACCCAGGCCGUGUACCUGGUCUACAUUGUGAAUGGGAAAACAUGG